UACGAAGGGUGCAAGCGUUACUCGGAAUUACUGGGCGUAAAGCGUGCGUAGGUGGUUUGUUAAGUCUGUUGUGAAAGCCCCGGGCUCAACCUGGGAAUGGCAAUGGAUACUGGCAAGCUAGAGUACUAAAGAGGAUCGCGGAAUUCCCGGUGUAGAGGUGAAAUUCGUAGAUAUCGGGAGGAGCACCGGUGGCGAAGGCGGCGAUCUGGGUAGAUACUGACGCUGAGGUGCGAAAGCGUGGGGAGCAAACAGG
rnacentral:rRNA from 1 species